GACGAACGCUGGCGGCGUGCUUAACACAUGCAAGUCGAACGAAGAGCGACGGAGGCUUGCUUCUAUCAAUCUUUUUGGCGCGCGUGUGUGUCACGCGUAUUCAACCUGCCCUUCAGAGGGGGACAACAGUUGGAAACGACUGCUAAUACCGCAUACGAUCUAAUCUCGGCAUCUUGGUUGGAUGAAAGGUGGCCUCUACAUGUAAGCUAUCACUGCAGGAGGUGAUUGCGUCUGAUUAGCUAGUUGGAGGGGUAACGGCCCACCAAGGCGAUGAUCAGUAGCCGGUCUGAGAGGAUGAACGGCCACAGUGGGACUGAGACACGGCCCAGACUCCUACGGGAGGCAGCAGUGGGGAAUCUUCCGCAAUGGACGAAAGUCUGACGGAGCAACGCCGCGUGAGUGAUGACGGCCUUCGGGUUGUAAAGCUCUGUUGAUAGGGACGAAAGGCCGUCUUGCGAAUAGUGAGAAGGAGUGACGGUACCGGAAUAGAAAGCCACGGCUAACUACGUG
rnacentral:rRNA from 1 species